GCGUUCUUCAAGCGAGCUUGGGAUAGUGGGAGCCAAGUAGGGCAAAAUAAAGGGCUGGCGCUUUCUGUAGUAUUUUCAAAAACAAUGAAGUAAUAAAUUAGGGUGGAACCGCGUUUCUGACG
rfam:Streptococcus pneumoniae 670-6B, complete genome.